rnacentral:rRNA from 1 species
AACGAACGCUGGCGGCAGGCCUAACACAUGCAAGUCGAGCGCACCUUCGGGUGAGCGGCGGACGGGUUAGUAACGCGUGGGAAUAUACCCUUCUCUACGGAAUAGCCUCGGGAAACUGAGAGUAAUACCGUAUAAGCCCUUCGGGGGAAAGAUUUAUCGGUGAAGGAUUAGCCCGCGUUAGAUUAGAUAGUUGGUGGGGUAAUGGCCUACCAAGUCUACGAUCUAUAGCUGGUUUUAGAGGACGAUCAGCAACACUGGGACUGAGACACGGCCCAGACUCCUACGGGAGGCAGCAGUGGGGAAUUUUCCGCAAUGGGCGAAAGCCUGACGGAGCAAGACCGCGUGGGGGAGGAAGGUUUUGGAUCGUAAACCCCUUUUGUCAAGGAAGAAGCUCUGACGGUACUUGACGAAUAAGCCUGGCUAACUCCGUG